rnacentral:rRNA from 1 species
AUUGAACGCUGGCGGCAGGCCUAACACAUGCAAGUCGAGCGGAUGAAGGGAGCUUGCUCCUGGAUUCAGCGGCGGACGGGUGAGUAAUGCCUAGGAAUCUGCCUGGUAGUGGGGGAUAACGUCCGGAAACGGGCGCUAAUACCGCAUACGUCCUGAGGGAGAAAGUGGGGGAUCUUCGGACCUUACGCUAUCAGAUGAGCCUAGGUCGGAUUAGCUAGUUGGUGGGGUAAAGGCCUACCAAGGCGACGAUCCGUAACUGGUCUGAGAGGAUGAUCAGUCACACUGGAACUGAGACACGGUCCAGACUCCUACGGGAGGCAGCAGUGGGGAAUAUUGGACAAUGGGCGAAAGCCUGAUCCAGCCAUGCCGCGUGUGUGAAGAAGGUCUUCGGAUUGUAAAGCACUUUGAGUUGGGAGGAAGGACAGUAAGUUAAUACCUUGCUGUUUUGACGUUACCAACAGAAUAAGCACCGGCUAACUUCGUG